rnacentral:rRNA from 1 species
CAAACUUGAGAGUUUGAUCCUGGCUCAGAACGAACGCUGGCGGCAUGCCUAACACAUGCAAGUCGAACGAAGGCUUCGGCCUUAGUGGCGCACGGGUGCGUAACGCGUGGGAA